rnacentral:rRNA from 1 species
AAAGAAUUUCGGUAUGGGAUGGGGAUGCGUUCCAUUAGUUAGUUGGCGGGGUAACGGCCCACCAAGACAACGAUGGAUAGGGGUUCUGAGAGGAAGGUCCCCCACAUUGGAACUGAGACACGGUCCAAACUCCUACGGGAGGCAGCAGUGAGGAAUAUUGGUCAAUGGACGAGAGUCUGAACCAGCCAAGUAGCGUGAAGGAUGACUGCCCUAUGGGUUGUAAACUUCUUUUAUAUGGGAAUAAAACGUUCCACGUGUGGAAUUUUGUAUGUACCAUAUGAAUAAGGAUCGGCUAACUCCGUGCCAGCAGCCGCGGUAAUACGGAGGAUCCGAGCGUUAUCCGGAUUUAUUGGGUUUAAAGGGAGCGUAGGUGGAUUGUUAAGUCAGUUGUGAAAGUUUGCGGCUCAACCGUAAAAUUGCAGUUGAAACUGGCAGUCUUGAGUACAGUAGAGGUGGGCGGAAUUCGUGGUGUAGCGGUGAAAUGCUUAGAUAUCACGAAGAACUCCGAUUGCGAAGGCAGCUCACUGGACUGCAACUGACACUGAGGCUCGAAAGUGUGGGUAUCAAACAGGAUUAGAUACCCUGGUAGUCCACACAGUAAACGAUGAAUACUCGCUGUUUGCGAUAUACAGCAAGCGGC